AGCCGCCGCGGUAACACCGGCAGCUCUAGUGGUAGCAAUUUUAUUGGGCCUAAAGCGUCCGUAGCCGGUUUAAUAAGUCUCUGGUGAAAUCCUGCAGCUUAACUGUGGGAAUUGCUGGGAUACUAUUAGACUUGAGACCGGGAGAGGUUAGAGGUACUCCCAGGGUAGAGGUGAAAUUCUGUAAUCCUGGGAGGACCGCCUGUUGCGAAGGCGUCUAACUGGAACGGUUCUGACGGUGAGGGACGAAAGUUAGGGGCGCGAACCGGAUUAGAUACCCGGGUAGUCCUAACUGUAAACGAUGCGGACUUGGUGUUGGGGUGGCUUUGAGCUGCUCCAGUGCCGAAGGGAAGCUGUUAAGUCCGCCGCCUGGGAAGUACGGUCGCAAGACUGAAACUUAAGGAAUUGGCGGGGGAGCACCACAACGCGUGGAGCCUGCCGGUUUAAUUGGAUUCAACGCCGGACAUCUCACCAGAGGCGACAGCUGUAUGAUAGCCAGGUUGAUGACUUUGCUUGACUAGCUGAGUGGAGGUGCAUGG
rnacentral:rRNA from 1 species